AAGGGUAUGGCUCAGAGGUAGAGCACAUGCUUAGCAUGCAUGAGGUCCUGGGUUCAAUCCCUAGUACCUCCU
rnacentral:tRNA from 1 species